rfam:Triticum aestivum genome assembly, contig: Triticum_aestivum_CS42_TGACv1_scaffold_251359_3DL
AAAGUACUCCCUCCAUCCCAAAAUUCUUGUCUUAGAUUUGUCUAGAUACGGAUGUAUCAAGUCACAUUUUAGUAUUAGAUACAUCAGUAUCUAGACAAAUCUAAGACAAGAAAUUUGGGACAGAGGGAGUAGUUG